rnacentral:rRNA from 1 species
AUGAACGCUGGCGGCGUGCCUAAUACAUGCAAGUCGAGCGAACAGAUGAGGAGCUUGCUCCUCUGACGUUAGCGGCGGACGGGUGAGUAACACGUGGAUAACCUACCAAUAAGACUGGGAUAACUUCGGGAAACCGGAGCUAAUACCGGAUAAUAUAUUGAACCGCAUGGUUCAAUAGUGAAAGACGGUUUUGCUGUCACUUAUAGAUGGAUCCGCGCCGCAUUAGCUAGUUGGUAAGGUAACGGCUUACCAAGGCAACGAUGCGUAGCCGACCUGAGAGGGUGAUCGGCCACACUGGAACUGAGACACGGUCCAGACUCCUACGGGAGGCAGCAGUAGGGAAUCUUCCGCAAUGGGCGAAAGCCUGACGGAGCAACGCCGCGUGAGUGAUGAAGGUCUUCGGAUCGUAAAACUCUGUUAUUAGGGAAGAACAAAUGUGUAAGUAACUAUGCACGUCUUGACGGUACCUAAUCAGAAAGCCACGGCUAACUACGUG